rnacentral:rRNA from 1 species
UGAGGAAUAUUGGGCAAUGGGCGCAAGCCUGACCCAGCAACGCCGCGUGGAGGAUGAAGGUCUUUGGAUUGUAAACUCCUUUUGCAGGGGAAGAGAGCGGACGGUACCCUGAGAAUCAGUCACGGCUAACUACGUGCCAGCAGCCGCGGUAAUACGUAGGUGACAAGCGUUAUCCGGAAUUACUGGGCGUAAAGCGCACGCAGGCGGCUGCGUAAGUCUGACGUGAAAUCUCUCGGCUUAACCGGGAGCGGUCGUUGGAAACUAUGCGGCUUGAGGCGAUGAGAGGGGUGUGGAAUUCCCGGUGUAGUGGUGGAAUGCGUAGAUAUCGGGAGGAACAUCAGUGGCGAAAGCGGCACCCUGGCAUUAGCCUGACGCUCAGGUGCGAAAGCGUGGGGAGCGAACGGG